AGCCUGAGUCCAAGGCAGAGGGGCCCAGGGGACCUAGAGGCAGCAGCUGCUGUCAGAGGGUCUCCCCCUCCGCUAAAAGAAGAACAGGGGAAGGAGGUGAGGACUGUCCUGCUGACGAACAAGCCUUUCUAGUAGCUCUGUAUAAAUACAUGAAGGAGAGGAAGACGCCCAUAGAGAGGAUCCCUACCUGGGCUUCAGACAGAUAAACCUUUGGACUAUGUUUCAAGCAGCAGAGACACUAGGAGGAUAUGAGCUGAUCACAUCUCGGCGACAGUGGAAAAACGUAUACGAUGAGUUGGGAGGAAACCCAGGGAGUACUAGUGCUGCAACCUGCACCAGACGGCACUAUGAAAGGCUGAUCCUGCCCUAUGAGAGGUUCACUAAAGGAGAGGAACAUAAACCCCUCCCCCC